AGUUAUGUCUGGGGGCAUUUUUUUGUGUAUUCCACCACCGCCAAGCUUCUGACACAACAGAUACAUGGCUUCUUCCCUUUUCUUUUCUUCUGCAUCUCCUUGCUUACUCACCCUCAAUUGUAUCUCUUCCCACCGCCAUUGUUUCGUAGAGCUUCCACCACUUCUUUUUCCUUCUACAUCCCUUCAAUGUGAUUCUUACCCUUUACGUCUUAAUUCUGUAAAUCAUCCAUCGAUGUGCUCCACCGCCUGGCUACAUAACCAAUUGUUUUGGGCCAACCCGUUAUUAUAUGCCCAUUUUGUUAGUCAAGAUCUUCAUAUUGCCUCCACGUAUCUUCCGCCGCCUCAGCCCCGUGUUUUAGAAGUCGAUAGAAAUCAGAUUAGUGCCAUCGCCACCUCUUCACCGCUUCUUGUAUCUAUUUCAGCUCCAUCCUGCCACUUUUCUAAACCGAUUGAAUGAUAAUAUCCUUUCGCUCUAAGGUUUAUUACCCCUCUAUUGUUAACGAUUGUUGUUCCAAUCCACCUUCACUUAUCGUCUUCUUCACCAUCUCUCUUCACCUUCUACUCUGCCAUCACAACAUCCACAAGGACUCGACCAACAGGGUUUAACUCAUCGGGCUUGGUUUAUUCCACCACCUCGACGACUGAAGUAUCAGAGUACAAAGCGAGAGGGCGAUUCGUUGGAAAGGAAGGUCGACUGAGAGGAACUGAUGCCUUUUUUGGGUGAUGUAACGUGCUUCCGGACUUUACGUUCGUUUGCUAUCGAGCUAAGUGUUCUUUGGAUUACAAAUCUACAUUUUUGAUUUGAUUUUAGGGCUUUUUUUUAGUUCUACUACUCUGAAAAAGAAAAGAGGCGGAGCCAUUCACUAAAGCAAUUCAUCACAUGUUUCUUUUCCCAUCUCUAUGAAGCUCUAAUUGAAAUACAUGUGCUUUUGUAGGUGAUUUAUGUUUUGAUUUCUAAUUUCACAGUUAGUAAUCCCAUCUGAUUCGUCUUUCAUCCACAGAUACGCAAUUUUCACCAAUUCAUUAAUUGGUCAAACAUGAUACAGUUUCACUUCAAAUUUGAUCAUUUUUCUGUAUGUAUCAGACACUAAUAGUUAACCAAGUACCAAAAUAUUUCAAUUCAUAAUGGUCAGUGCCUUCAACUAAUUUUAAUUGCAUUGUAGAAGCAGGUGUUCCUGUCAUUCGUUUGGCUACUGGAGAAUCUGAUUUUCACACCCCGGCUAUUAUCGCUGACGUAGCUGCUGAUUUCAACAGUUAUUUCCUCGAUUCAAUCCAUUCUUUUCAUUGCUAUAGCUAAUAGUUGUUCAAACCACGAUGUCUGAGUAUAGAUGUGUUUCGUUUUUUUUAUGAUUUCUGUAAGAAAAAAUUAAAAUUUAUUGGUUUUCAGGUUAUAAUUCCAGCUCCAUUUUUGGUGAUCUACAAAAGACUUCUAUUGCUAUGAGAGAUUAUGCUCAUUAAGCCAGCAUGGUAUCGUCUGCUUUUGAAUCACAUUCCUCUCACUUUUGAGUGUGGUUCCAUGCUUGAAGAGGUAUAAUACAUUUUGAUAUGAUAUAAAUAUAGGAAUAUAAUAAAGCAAACAUGAGUUUCAUGUGACUCAAUAGUGAAUGAUGUAAGUUGCAGGCUUUUAUGGGGCUCAAAAAUUUUGGAUUAUCAAACUCAUUUUUUGUCCCUAAUAUUAGUGAUUGUAUCCUUGAGAUAAAUUAUUAUAAUACUGUUUGAUAAGAUAUAAGGACAUGCAAGAUGCAUGAAAGUGUAUUGAGUUUAUUAGAGGAAGAUUGUAAUUUUUUAUUUUUAUUUUGAAUUUUAUAAAUAAUGAAUGUAUUUCAUUUCCUUUUUAUUGGCAUUAUACUUUCAAAAUGAUUCCUAUUAUAGCAUUGUACUUUUAUUUGGCAUGCUUUGGUUAAUUUAUAUAGCUUUAAUGUUCACUUUAUAUGAUUUUCCAUAAGUCGAACAAUUAGAACAAAGCUAUCAAGGAUUUUGGUAUUAUGAUCAUUUGAAAUUUUAGAUGUCGAGUGGGGGAUAACAGGUGCUUAUCAGGAGGAAUGUACGUGAGACUGUUGGUCCCUCAAAUGUUCAACAAACA